AUGAACAUGAGGAUGACAACAUGUUUAGACACUGGCAUUGUGCUGGAGAUAAUGAACAUGAGGAUGACAACAUGUUUAGACUCUGGCAUUGUGCUGGAGAUAAUGAACAUGAGGAUGACAACAUGUUUAGACUCUGGCAUUGUGCUGGAGAUAAUGAACAUGAGGAUGACAACAUGUUUAGACUCUGGCAUUGUGCUGGAGAUAAUGAACAUGAGGAUGACAACAUGUUUAGACUCUGGCAUUGUGCUGGAGAUAAUGAACAUGAGGAUGACAACAUGUUUAGACUCUGGCAUUGUGCUGGAGAUAAUGAACAUGAGGAUGACAACAUGUUUAGACUCUGGCAUUGUGCUGGAGAUAAUGAACAUGAGGAUGACAACAUGUUUAGACUCUGGCAUUGUGCUGGAGAUAAUGAACAUGAGGAUGACAACAUGUUUAGACUCUGGCAUUGUGCUGGAGAUAAUGAACAUGAGGAUGACAACAUGUUUAGACUCUGGCAUUGUGCUGGAGAUAAUGAACAUGAGGAUGACAACAUGUUUAGACUCUGGCAUUGUGCUGGAGAUAAUGAACAUGUGGAUGACAACAUGUUUAGACUCUGGCAUUGUGCUGGAGAUAAUGAACAUGAGGAUGACAACAUGUUUAGACUCUGGCAUUGUGCUGGAGAUAAUGAACAUGAGGAUGACAACAUGUUUAGACUCUGGCAUUGUGCUGGAGAUAAUGAACAUGAGGAUGACAACAUGUUUAGACUCUGGCAUUGUGCUGGAGAUAAUGAACAUGAGGAUGACAACAUGUUUAGACUCUGGCAUUGUGCUGGAGAUAAUGAACAUGAGGAUGACAACAUGUUUAGACUCUGGCAUUGUGCUGGAGAUAAUGAACAUGAGGAUGACAACAUGUUUAGACACUGGCAUUGUGCUGGAGAUAAUGAACAUGAGGAUGACAACAUGUUUAGACUCUGGCAUUGUGCUGGAGAUAAUGAACAUGAGGAUGACAACAUGUUUAGACUCUGGCAUUGUGCUGGAGAUAAUGAACAUGAGGAUGACAACAUGUUUAGACUCUGGCAUUGUGCUGGAGAUAAUGAACAUGAGGAUGACAACAUGUUUAGAUUCUGGCAUUGUGCUGGAGAUAAUGAACAUGAGGAUGACAACAUGUUUAGACUCUGGCAUUGUGCUGGAGAUAAUUAACAUGAGGAUGACAACAUGUUUAGACACUGGCAUUGUGCUGGAGAUAAUGAACAUGAGGAUGACAACAUGUUUAGACUCUGGCAUUGUGCUGGAGAUAAUGAACAUGAGGAUGACAACAUGUUUAGACUCUGGCAUUGUGCUGGAGUUAAUGAACAUGAGGAUGACAACAUGUUUAGACUCUGGCAUUGUGCUGGAGAUAAUGAACAUGAGGAUGACAACAUGUUUAGACUCUGGCAUUGUGCUGGAGAUAAUUAACAUGAGGAUGACAACAUGUUUAGACACUGGCAUUGUGCUGGAGAUAAUGAACAUGAGGAUGACAACAUGUUUACACUCUGGCAUUGUGCUGGAGAUAAUGAACAUGAGGAUGACAACAUGUUUAGACUCUGGCAUUGUGCUGGAGAUAAUGAACAUGAGGAUGACAACAUGUUUAGACUCUGGCAUUGUGCUGGAGAUAAUGAACAUGAGGAUGACAACAUGUUUAGACACUGGCAUUGUGCUGGAGAUAAUGAACAUGAGGAUGACAACAUGUUUAGACUCUGGCAUUGUGCUGGAGAUAAUGAACAUGAGGAUGACAACAUGUUUAGACUCUGGCAUUGUGCUGGAGAUAAUGAACAUGAGGAUGACAACAUGUUUAGACUCUGGCAUUGUGCUGGAGAUAAUGAACAUGAGGAUGACAACAUGUUUAGACUCUGGCAUUGUGCUGGAGAUAAUGAACAUGAGGAUGACAACAUGUUUAGACUCUGGCAUUGUGCUGGAGAUAAUGAACAUGAGGAUGGCAACAUGUUUAGACACUGGCAUUGUGCUGGAGAUAAUGAACAUGAGGAUGGCUAGUGGUGGGAUUUCCCUUUAA
ensembl:lncRNA